AGGCAGCCCCUCUCUCAGGGAGAGGGGAAAUGUGGUUUUCUUUUGAUGGUUGCUGGAGCUGCUCACCUAUACCAGAGUUUUUAUGAGCUUGGAGUACCAUCCCCUAAGCAUUUAUAUUGUAGAAAUUUUAGUUUUUAAGCAUAAAGCUACUUCUGGUACUGAUGAGGAUAUUUGUAAAGCAGUUCCAGAAUAUUUUUUUUUUAAAGUAAUACUUUUUAAACAGCCCUGUUUCAUUGCUGUAGAGCACAGCCUGUGCAUGAUCAUGAAAACUGUGUCAGUGAGUUUGGGACCACUGGGAAAUGUGUUUUAUUUUCUGUGGAUGCUCAGCUGGGCUCGCAAACAGGAGUUUGGUUCUCGUGAUGUUUAAAGAAGAAAACAGAUUUACAGAGUCAACAGGAUGACACAAACAAGAGCUGCAGUGCUGUGUGUGGCAUCCUUGGAGAAAAAGGAGCAGGAGAGGUGUGGGUGAAACCUCAGAUCAACUGAUCCACAGCCAUCACCAAAGCUUCUGAAGAUCCCUGAGAAGAGAUCAAAUGCUCCCCCUUUCCUUUACUUCUUGCAGCAAUCUGAUUUUUGGCUUCUCUGUGAAGAACCGUGUAAGUUGCCAAGGCCACCUUCUACUUUGGGAAUUUGCAUCUUGCAGGUGUCUAAACUCUGACUCAUGAAUUAGGUCAUGGACUCGUGGCUGCUGAAGAAAUUGGGUUGAGCAGAAAUCUGAUUUGUUUGGGCUUUUCACUCCAGACGCCCACGCUGGAUUUGGAUGUUCUUUUGAUAUCUGAGAUUUUUAGUAAAAUAUGUCAGUGAAGUCAAAACAAGAAUUAAUGUAUUUUGGCACUGAAACAUCUGUAGCACUUUUUUUUAUUCUCCUCUGUCAGUUCUUUAUCCCCAUCAGCUCUGCAAGCCUUAGCACUUGUGGGGGGAGGAUGUGACCCAGGGAUUCUGCCUGUCCCACAUGAGUUUGGUUGACUGAGAACAUUCUGUAGAACAGUUGUAGAUGUGGCUCAUAAAAUUUCAGGUUUUUAGACGUAUUCUGUCUGGGAAGUCACUGUUCUGAGGCAUCUGUGACCCUGUGCCUGGAUGGGGUUUGAUAUGAUGAUGAACUGAAUUUAAUGUGCAGCCCUGUUGCAAAGUGAUCAGAGAUACUUUUAGGGCAGGACUCAUUUCACAGAACUUUAAAUGUCUGUCUUGCUAUUACAUGAAUUUUGUCUGACAGGUUACCUCCUCUCUAUUGAUUAGCUCAGACAGGCUCGUUAUCUCACUCUUCAGUAAUUUUUUUCUCCACAUUUCAGACAGGGACAAAUGGGGCAUAUCCCUGUAGUACUUGUACAGGAACUUCCUUGGCGUGAGGGUUUUGUUUGAUUUUGUGUGAUACCAAAGUCGUGUUUUGAAGGUCAAUCUGUGAUUAAGACUUUCCUGUGCGCAGUACAAGGUGGAUAAAUCCUCAGAAGCGUGGAGGAAGGAGCUUUCAGUUAUAUUUAUUUGUUCUUGUACUUUUGCUUUUAAGAUCAGUGCUUGUAGAUGAGACAUGGUUAAUGCUGCUCCUUCCUUAUUAGACUUGUUAACCUUUCUGAAGUGGAAACUGUCUGGAAUAAACUCACCUCAAUGUGCUCAGGCUCUAGUGAAGGAAAUACUGAUUCCCUAAUAUUUUACUCUCUGCCUAAGAAUUGUUCCUUUUUCCUGGUGGUUUUGGGUGGCGUUUUUUUUGUUUUGUUACAGUGAGAGGUUUUUCCCCUCUGCCAUCUUUGGCAGCAUGUUAAUGGUGUUAAAAAACACUCUCUGGGAAGUAGAGAGCUGGAAAAGUUUCCCCUGUCCCUGCCCUCCAACCCAGGCAGAGGAGAACACAAGGAGGAAUGUGAACCCUGAGCACAUCAAUUCUCCACUUGUAGGCAAUGCAAUGCCUCGUGUACAAGGGUGGAUGUUAUUUUCUGUUAGUUCUUCUCAGUGUUCUUACUGAUCCCAGAGAUGUUUAUCACUUAAAUUAUUCUGACACAGAUCUUUUGUGACUGCACAAAGAGAUUUAGGAGUUUAAUUGUGCUAAUUCUGCAUUUUGGUUUGAGAAUAAAUCAUGAAGAUUCUUCUA